GCAACGACGAGACGGUGCGCCAAGUGUCGGCGGCCGGAGGCGAGUGCUGGGCCUACACCGUCGACCUCUGCGACCGCCACUCCAUCUACAAGGUCGCCGCCAGGGUCAAGGAGGAGGUUGGCAAGGUGGACAUCCUGGUGAACAACGCCGGCAUCGUGACGGGCAGGAACUUCAUCGACUCGCCCGACGAACUCAUCCAGAAGACGUUCGAAGUCAACAUCAUGAGUCACUUCUGGACCACCAAGGCCUUUCUCCCUGAUAUGAUUUCCGCCAACAAGGGUCAUGUGGUCACUGUGGCCUCUCUGGCUGGCCUCUCUGGGGUCAACAAGCUUGCCGACUACUGCGCCUCCAAGUUUGCUGCCGUGGGCUUUGACGAGAGUCUGCGGCUCGAGUUGCUGGUUGAAGGACAUAAAGGUGUCCACACUACAGUUGUGUGUCCUUACUAUAUUAGCACUGGAAUGUUUGAUGGAGUUAAAUCAAAGUUGAUCCCAAUCUUAAAACCGGAGUAUGUUGCCUCUGAGACAAUAGAUGGCAUCUUGCUAAACCGUUACACAGUCAUCCUGCCUUCCUUCUGCCGAUUCAUGAUUCUUUUGAAAUACAUCCUUCCAUUCAAGGGGGCUUAUCGAAUCUACAAGGCAUGCGGAGGACACAUUUCCAUGGAUGGGUUCCAGGGUCGCAGUAAGGACUUGCAGCAGCAGCUCAAGAUGACCAAUGGACCAGAGAAGCAGAAGCCACAAGGAACCCCAGAGGUGUAAAAGUGUACCAUGUUGAUGAGGACUUUAUAUUGCAAUCUUUCCCUGUAGGAUGUUAGUAAUGAUAUGUAUAGGUUUUUCUUUUUUACUUUUGGAAACAAAAUGAAUAAAUAAAUAAGUAGGAAGUAAUUUAAGCUGUAUCAGCUCUUAUACAGAUUACCUCAAACAUGUUCAUAAUAUCUAGGCUUAGUUGUUUUGACAGACAUAAAAGAAGAUUCAUAUCUCAUUAAAAAAAAUGUAGAUACCUUUUAAUAGAAAUAUAAGAGGAGAUGGAAAUAUUAUUUGUCUUCAAAGUCUUAUUUUUUCGUACUGAAAGGACUGGUUUUUGCUUAGCUCAUGUCCAGUGAGGAUUGGUAGAUUUUUUUCUGAGGUAUCAUGUAAACACUUAAGUUUUUUCCAUUUUGAAUCUGGUGUCCAAUUAGGUGUUUGUUAUCUACCUUGGAUUAUGAUGAUUGUUAUGCAAGAAGUAUCUUAAUGCUAUUUCAGAAAUAUAAGUAGUGAUUCUUUUCUUGGAAUUAUUGCAAUGUGUUCUUCUUUACAUUAAACAUGAAUAGUAAAUAAGCAUGCAGCUACUACAGAUAUCACUGAAUAUAAAAAUCAAGUGCAGGGUAUAGAUAACUUUCUUUAUUUACUUUGCUAUUGUUUCUUAUCAGGCUUCUUGUUGCAGAAAACAAAAGUACUAUGGAACAAUACAACUCAGUCUUACUCAGUGUAAUAUGCAUAAUCUUAUUGUUAUCAGUUUUGGAAAAUCGUGAAUUUCAGGAAUUCAUGUUUUAAAUUUUGUAAUAUAGAUCUAUAUUACAUCAGCUGUUACAAAUGAAUAUUUUUUUAUCAUCAGGUUAGCUAUAUUUGAAAAAAUAUAUUGAAAAUAAUGUGAGAAGAGUUGUAUUUUUUUCAUCUGUUUUUCCAUAUCACUCCCUUACAUUUAAAUAUUGCAACUAAUAAUAGCAGUAAUACUGAUCACAAUGACAAUAAAAGUAAUAAUUAUUUCCACUAUAUGCCAAAUACAAAGUGUAUAAAAGUAAUGUAAGUUACAAGUGUUUGAAGAAUGCAUGAUAUUGAAAACAAAAUAUAAGUUUGAAACUUAAAACAAAAAAGAAACAGACAAAUGUAUAGAAAAAACAAGGUAAAAGAAAAGGAAGACAAAUAACAUACAUAAAGCACUUUAUGAAGCAAACUACAGUAAAAAAAAAUAUGGAACCAGCAUCUAAUUGGUUAUUAAAUUGACGGAAUGGUUAUCUUCAUUAGUUUGAAUAGCAGUUGCCUCUUUCCAUGAAUGAAUCUUACAUUUGAGUUGCACUUUUCAAUGGUGCUAAUUCUAACACCUACAUAUACUACUUUAUGAUACACAGAGUAUUUAUUGCUGUCUUUAUAAGUACCCCAUAAUGGAGUUCAGUAAAAAAACAAAGGGCUUUAUAUGUCAGACAGUUAAUUUUAUUGAAGGAAAUAAAAUUAAAUUGUCUAGUGGAAGUAUUUCUUCCCAAGUCCCCUUGUUUCUUUCCUUAUGUCAUUUGUAUCAGUGAGCAUUUUGUUGCCUUCACAAAAAUCUGCUAUCGCGCAAAAUGUGAUGAAAUAGUAUUUGGUGGCCCUCUAAGUUAUAUGGUGCUUGCUAGAAAUGUCCUGGCACAUCACUGAAAUGGUCUUUUGUCUGUAGUUAAUUUGACCUUCAUGAAUUGUAAACAAGUAAAACCAUUUGACAUAGAAGCAUACAGAACUGCAUCCAACAUGAAGUAUUUGCUCAGAAUAAAGUGCCAAAGUACAAAGGAAUGCCACUUUAGCAAUUGAAUGAAUAAGAAACCAAGACCUUACAUGACCUGAGUUUUUUUCUAUUAAUAAAUAAUAGCAGAAUAAAUAACUUUGCCUUAGAAAAUUACAGAACUAUGAAUAAAGCAUGCUUCAAGUCAAGCAGUGUUUCGAGUUCUUAGCGUUUUUUAUUGCUACAAGAAAAAAAUCAUAUAACCUAAAAUAUCUGAAUCUGUCACAUUAUGUAAGUGCUUAUAACAUCAUAAGCCAAUCUGAUGAUAGGAUGACCUCAUUAAAGAUAUAUGACUUUGAGUAACAACAGCAAUUUAGAGAUAUAUGUAUAUGUAUGUAUUAAAGGUAAUAUUUCUUGUAAAGAUCAUGCCAAAAGUGUCAUUGGCAUUGAAGAGAAUAUCUAAGUCUUCCAUUUUCAGUGUAGAUUGUCCUAAUAUUUAUUUUUAAGAACCUCUUGACAUCUUUUUUAUAUAUAAAAUGGGGAAAGAAAGUCGCAUUUUUAGAUUAUCAAUAUGUGUGUAUUUACUGUUUAUUAUUGCUAUUAUUAUAGGUAUUAUAUCCUUUAUUCGAAUCAAAGGAAAGGUUAUUAAUGUGGAAAUCUAGCAAAAUAAAUUUUUGUUAUGUAAAUUGUGCUUAAAGUUAAUUUCUAAAAAAAAUCUUUGUGGGUAUUUUAUACAGUAGUCAAUGACAUACCUGCAACGGAGUUUAUUUUACAUCAACAAAAUCCUCUCUUCCGUUUUAUCUGUUACCUCACUGUCUCAUCCUCUGUUUCUUUCUGUCAUAAGAGUGUUUUUACUGAAUUUUACUGUGCAUUAUUCUCUAUAUGAUUUGUGUGGUACUCUGCAUUAUUCUAUAUGUAAUAUGUAGCAAAAUAUCAAAAUGUAAUAUUUUUGCCUUUGUACAAUAUUUGUCUCUAUAGUGUGUAGCUUUUACCAAAAUGUUACAUUCAGUAUUUCAAGCACAUUAAAAAAUAUAUAUAUUACAGGACUGUGCUGUAAGAGUUAUGUGUGCAAAAUAAAAGAAGUAUAUUUGAA
rnacentral:misc_RNA from 1 species